AAUUGUCUGGUAUUUCAGAAAAUCAUAUCAUGGAUUUACUCAAAGCAGGAUGCAAUCAAAGUAGUUUAUGAAAAAAGCUUUUGGUAUAAAGACGCAUUCGGCGGGUAGGCGAACUAAAAGCAGAUCUUUCUGAAUAAGCAAGAUGAAUUUUAAAGUAACGUUUGUAAUUGUUAUUUUGCUUGGCUCGGCCAUUAUGCCAUCGGUGAACGGACUCUCAGGAGUUGCUCGGGUCCUUGGCUCAGUCACAAGAGGUAUUUUGCUGCCCACAGUCGCGAAACUGGGUCCUCUUGUGCCCGGCGUUGCAAAUAGAAGAAGAUACCGAACUUGGAGCAGCUGGAAACAGCUAAGAUGGACGAAAUGGAAUGAACAACAAAGGGAAUCCAUGAGUACAGAUACAACGGUAUCCGAAGUUAUGGACGGGUUGAUGGAACCAGAACAGUAAACUGUCGACGCUUGCUGCUGAGUGGCGGGUAGAUUGUGUAAUGUAUUCGUAAUACACAAGACUUGGCGACA